CCGUCAUCUCUAUUUAAUCGUCUUCGAAGCAUAACAGUACACAACGAACAUGCCCCGAUACAGAGGCGAACCACCUGCAGUUCGCGUAUAUACAGUUUGCGACGAAUCAAAAUAUUUGAUUGUGAAGAACGUUCCGGCGUUGGGUUGUGGUGAUGAAUUGUCGAAACAGUUCGCAACAUAUGGAGAUAUUAAGAGUAAUUUCUCUCUCCUCUCUCUAUAUGAAAUGUAAUAUGGCCAUGAUCAACUUCUACUGGUGUUCUUACUGUCACAAAUUAUUUGAUAAAAUUUAAAAUUUUUAAUUCAAUGAAAAAAAGCUCUUGUUAUAUGUGUGGUUGAAAUGAGAGCAAUUUUAUGUAAUUAAUUAAUUUUUCCCCAACUCUUGCCCCAAUCAUUUGCCAUUUCUUAAUUGAAAAGUGGUUGUUAUCUCCAGUUGUUGCAACACUUUUGAUGCUUGGGAAAGUAGCGUUCAGGCAUAAAAAAAAUAAAUAAAAGGGGUUACCAUUUCUUAAGAAUUAGGCUUUGCGAAGAAAUUCUGAUUUAAUUGCAUUUCGGAUAUGGUUUCUAGGCAUCAAUGGCCUUAUUUGAACGGUUGCUUUGUUAGACGAUUUGCCAUGAUUUUCUUCAUUUGCCUCCAUUAGAUGUAAACCAAUGGAUGAUGAAGACUGUGAGCCAUUUACCCAGUUUUACUGGAUCAAAUUUUGUCACGUCAACAAUGCCAGGUUUGCAAAAAGAAAACUGGACGAGUUUGUUUUCCUUGGGAAUCGGCUGCAGGUAAGGUAUGCACCUAAUUUUGAGAGCUUCUUGGACUCAAAGGAGAAAUUAGAAGACUGGAGAAAGGAAGUUCUAGCACGAUUGAACCAUGAGUUUCGUAGUAUUAUAAAACACAGUCCAAAUUAUGAUUUUUCCAGGCAGAGUACACUUUUAUCUUUGCACUGAAAAAAGUAUGGUUUGUGCCAAUAUCUCUGAUUUUAGCCGGAAGGUCUAGAGGGUCUACAGUUCACAACCCAGGUGUUUCCAGUGAGCCUUUAUCUGUUGCAACUCCGUUUUCCCAAUCAACAAACAACCUAAGGUAGUAUGCUUUUUGUUCAAACUUGAUGGCGCUGGAGGUUUUUUUCAUGGCAAAGAUUUAGAUUUUUUUUUUUUUAUUUUUUUUUUAAUUUUAUUUUUAAUUUUAUUGUAGGGAAUCUGGAGAAUCACAUCUUAUUUUUCAAAGUAAAGAUUCUAUCCUCGCAAUGGUUUCUCAGAGUAAAGAUUCUACCCCCACAAUGGUUUCUUCUGAUCAGGUUUGUUACCAAUUUACAGUGACAUCCAAAACUCUAAUUCUUUUCCAAUUAAUUUCUUACAUGAUUUAAGAUGAGUAUGACACCUCCCAAACAAUAAAUAAAUUCCCUUCCAUACCGAGAUUUGAACCAUGAACAUUCUAAACAACCAAUACCCGAUCUAAAUCUCUGAUGGUUCAACUUGUGUAAUAAACUUAAUAAAAUUUAUAUCACCAGAGGUAAUUGUUAUCUUCACUCAACUUUGAUUUUUUCAGAUUAUCAACAAUAUAUCGGCCAUCCUAGAACCAUUUGCAUGGUUUGGUUUCUUGUCAUUGCUAAGCAAAUAGCUUCCUAGUAGAGUUUAUCCUAUAACCAGGAUAAUGUUUCUAUUUUUUGUCUCGUACUAGUAAAUGCUUUUCUCCUUUUUGUCUCAGGAUUAUUUUCCAUCCCAAUCGAUGAAUCAGACAGUUCAGUUGGUCAGGGAUAAGCUUAAUAAGACACAAUCAGGUGUUGAGCAUCUCAGAGCUGUACCUUCCAAAAAAAUGCGACUGGACAAUAGAAGAAGAAUUUAAUGUACUUUUAACAAUGGAGAGAGACAACAAGCACUAUCGAGUACUUUGCCUUCUUGUGUCAUCUCUGCUAAUUUGGUUACCUGCCUGCCUUGCUAGAUAAUUUAGAUAAACAGAAGUCAAUUUCAAUUGCAGAUGACGAAAAAAAAAGGGUACAAGUAAUGAGAGGGUUGGAAAAACUUAUAUCUAUGAUGGGUUGUAGCUGGUGACCAACUAUUGGACAGAAAGAAAGAAAGAAGCCAUGUCUGAAAUUGGUUAUAUGCUUGAAUUGAAUAGUCUACCAGCAGAACCAAAACUCCCUCGACAAAUAUUGAACAAGUCAAAAGAAUCUAAAGUCUGCACAUUACUCUAUGGAAAGAAACGAGCGGUUAAGGUAGUGAUUGCCAUAAAUUAGGAAACCCCUUGCUUUCAUUUAGAUAGCCAAAAUGAAAUAUCCAGAUUUGUACAACCACUCUAGUCGAAUUGGUUGCUCCUAUGGUGCAGGAGCAUUGCUCCAAAUCCGAGCAUCCAUUGAUGCAAUUGUAACCAGUUGAACUAGAGUGGUUUUUACAUAUUUGGAUAUUUCAUUCUGGUUAUGUAAUUGAAAGCUGGGGGUUUCUCAUCAUCAUCCAUGGCAAUCACUACCUUAAUAGCUCUCUUUUCUUUCCCUAGAGAAAUGUCACUUUCCAAGCAGACUUUAGGUUGUUUUGACUUGUUCCCUAUUUGCCGAGGGAGUUUUUCGUUCUACUGGUAGUCUAUUCAUUUCAAACAUAUAUACCAAUUUCAGACAUGGCUUCUUUCUUUCUGUCCAAUUGUUGGUCACCUGGUACAACCCUAAGUAGACGUGUUUUUUCUGAUCCAACCACGAUGUUGUAAAUGUGAAUAUUUAGUUGUUUAAGUUCUUUCAUUGCAGAUCAGUACGCUCCUCAGCUUUGUAUAAUUACGAGUAGAGGAACGAAAGUUCGAAUCGGAUCUUUCAUUAGAACUUUUAGUGAUCAAAAAGUAUUUGUAUACAUUGAUCAUUGAUGCCAUGUCUUAUGAAUCCAACAGUUUCGUGCGAGUAGAAAGUGAACAUGAAUUGCCUAAAUUUCACCCUCUUUAAUUCUUCUUGUUACAGCCUCCACUUUAUGGGGUAUUUAGUCGGAAUUGCUUAAUUUUCUUUUUGUCCACCAAUAGUUUUAGCUUGUGAUGUCUUUCUUCUACUUUUACCUUAUUGAUACAAGGGUUUGUUUGAUCACUCCGCCUGACUGGUUGGUUCCAAACAGAUUCUACACAUUAACUUCAUUUUGUGGACUUUAACAAUUCAUCCAUGCAUAAAUAUACAUUUUAUGAUUUUAGGUACAGAAGGGUAGAGUGGACAAUUUCUAACUAGAUGGAGACCAUAGUAUCCUUCGUGAAACCAGUCUUCUCAGGUCCACCUUGAAGCUUGAGGAGGUUGUUGGGGUUUAUUAUGUACGAAGAAAUUGAUUGUUGCUCUGUACUGCCAGUUUUGGGCUUCCACUGCCGCCUGCUUCAUUCUCUCAGCCAAUUCUCUGUUUGUUUAUAUUCUCUAUUUCAAGAUCCUUUUCAUCUUCAUAAUUACUCAUGCAUUUCUCUAUAGCACAACCUUACCCCUUUAAUCUCCUUAUAUCUCACAACCUCCCACUCUAUUUUUGUUCUCACCACCACCACCACCACCACCACCGGUAACCGUGAGAACCAAGACACCAACAAAGGAGAUUGUUCUAUAAGUUAAAAGAGCAAAAGCCCAUAGUACAUUCAUGGAGUUGGCUCAUAAAAUAGUUGAAAAAUACCAACUGCGAUUCAUGCGCCAUACCACCGCCCUCCAUCCCACCCUGGCCUUAGAUGACGCCUCCGGCUCCGCCACCACCAAUAACCAAACCCAAAUGACAAAUCAAACAAAUCCAGCAUCCCAAUCUCAAUCUAUGAGUCAUGAGAACACAUCAUCGCCAAUUCUUCAUUACCCCAUAUUGAGAUUUCACUUUGCAAGUACGCUUUAGUAUAUAAAUAAACCCUAAUUGUCCACUAAAAUUAAGAGAAAAUUAUUAUCAUCAACCACCACAGAUGGUAUCGCCUUCGCCGGUGGAAGAACUAGCAAUGUUACUAGAGAGGGGAAGGGGUGUGUGUGUGUAAACUACAUGUAUAAUAGGAUUUACAUAUAAUAUGGUGGCAGUGUGGUCCUUCUAUCUACACUUUUUUUUUAAAAGAAAUAUAUAAAUUAUACACAUACUACUAAGGUCAAGAUUGGUAUUGCAUUAAAAUAUUUUAAAGGUAUUAACUGUCAAGGGGGAAUUUGUAACUUUUGUCAAAUUUUGGGGAGGAUGACCAUAAUUUUUCAACAAGUUUAGUUUAUGGGUAAUAAGCUCAAACCUAAGAGAGGUUAAGGUAAUUCGCGCAUAACUUAAAUAUGAACAUCUACGCAUAAAUACAUUCCACAAAUAGUAAUACGCCUAUUCAAUAUCAACUAAACAGAGUGUUGACUAUAUAAUUAUCACAAUAAAAAAAAUUA